CCUGGUGGCUCAGAUGGUAAAGAAUCUGCCUGCAAUGCAGGAGAUCUGGGUUCGAUUCCUGGGUCAGGA
rnacentral:tRNA from 1 species